rnacentral:rRNA from 1 species
AGUGAACGCUGGCGGUAGGCCUAACACAUGCAAGUCGAACGGCAGCACAGGAGAGCUUGCUCUCUGGGUGGCGAGUGGCGGACGGGUGAGGAAUACAUCGGAAUCUACCUUUUCGUGGGGGAUAACGUAGGGAAACUUACGCUAAUACCGCAUACGACCUACGGGUGAAAGUGGGGGACCGCAAGGCCUCACGCGAUUAGAUGAGCCGAUGUCCGAUUAGCUAGUUGGCGGGGUAAUGGCCCACCAAGGCGACGAUCGGUAGCUGGUCUGAGAGGGUGAUCAGCCACACUGGAACUGAGACAAGGUCCUGACUCCUACGGGAGGCAGCAGUGGGGAAUAUUGGACAAUGGGCGCAAGCCUGAUCCAGCCAUACCGCGUGGGUGAAGAAGGCCUUCGGGUUGUAAAGCCCUUUUGUUGGGAAAGAAAUCCUAUCGGUUAAUAACCGGUGGGGAUGACGGUACCCAAAGAAUAAGCACCGGCUAACUUCGUGCCAGCCGCCGCAGUAAUAC